rnacentral:rRNA from 1 species
AGGACGAACGCUGGCGGCGUGCUUAACACAUGCAAGUCGAGCGGUAAGGCCCUUCGGGGUACACGAGCGGCGAACGGGUGAGUAACACGUGGGUGAUCUGCCCUGCACUCUGGGAUAAGCCUGGGAAACUGGGUCUAAUACCGGAUAUGACCUGCUCUCGCAGUGGGGGUGGGUGGAAAGAUUUAUCGGUGCAGGAUGGGCCCGCGGCCUAUCAGCUUGUUGGUGGGUAAUGGCCUACCAAGGCGACGACGGGUAGCCGACCUGAGGAGGGUCGACCGGCCACGACGUGGGACUGAGACACGGCCCAGACUCCGUACGGGAGCAGCAGUGGGAAUAGUGCACAAGUGGGACGAAAGCCUGAAUGCAGCGACGCGCGUGAGGAUGAAGGCCGUUCGGUACUAACCGUCUUUACAGCGAGGACGAG